GCUCUAAUGAUGGAAGUGGUAGACGUGAGGGACUUAAAAUCCCUUGACCAGUAAUGGUCGUGCGGGUUCGAAUCCCGCUUAGAGCAC
rnacentral:tRNA from 2 species